CAGUGCUGGGGUCUCAGCAGGCGGCACUCUCCGGACACCUCCACCAUGGCCUGGGCUCUGCUCCUCCUCACCCUCCUCACUCACGGCACAGGUGA
rnacentral:pre_miRNA from 1 species